UACGGAGGGUGCAAGCGUUAUCCGGAUUCACUGGUUUUAAAGGGUGCGUAGGCGGGCAGGUAAGUCAGUGGUGAAAUCUCCGGGCUUAACCCGGAAACUGCCGUUGAUACUAUCUGUCUUGAAUAUCGUGGAGGUAAGCGGAAUAUGUCAUGUAGCGGUGAAAUGCUUAGAUAUGACAUAGAACACCCAUUGCGAAGGCAGCUUACUACACGAUCAUUGACGCUGAGGCACGAAAGCGUGGGGAGCAAACAGG
rnacentral:rRNA from 1 species